CUGUGCAACUCUACCUCAAGUCUCCGAAUGAAAAGUAGUUCAAGCGAGCCUCCACUAACCGCUGCUAGGACCAAUACUAGAAUCUGCACAAAAAAUGCAGAAGUACAGUAUGAGUACACCGACAUCAUGUACUUCGUAAGUGCCGAGACUAACCUCGACAAAGUAGUGAUGAGCCUAUAACAAGGCACUCACUAUAAACUUGUAUGAGUAAAAAUAAAAUAAUAACAGAAUAGAGAAAAUAAGAAUUUACAUGAAAAUCGGAACAGAAAGUACAUAACAGAGGGCCAAGAAUAUCGCCUAUGCUCAAGUUCACAUUAAAACACGAUUAUAGAACCAACAGUCAAGAAAAGUCAAAACAUGUCUUCUCCAUUGUGGUGCGUAAUCUAUUUCACACAUAUUUCAACAAUAUCAAUACUGUUAUGGCGUGCAACCCGAUUCCAAUCACAUUAUCACUAUAUGUUACAUCAUGCAACCCAAUCCCAAAUAAUAAUACCAUAUGCGUUACAGCAUGCAACUCGAUCCUAAACAAUCAUACCAACAUCUGUUGCGGCUUGCAACCCAAUCCCAAACAAUAAUACCAACAUCUGUUACGGCAGGCAACCCGAUCCCAAACAAUCAUAUCAUUACUACAAACAACUACGGUAUAUCUCUUAACAUAAGAGAAAGGAACCAAAGCAAGUAAAUACUCUACGGCAAGACAAUAUAAUAAACUAGAGCGAAAUAGAAGCAAGUAAAGGCAAAUAGAUAAUAAAGGAAUAAAAUAAGUAGCAAAAGAAGACAUGUAGCAAGGAAAUCAUGUAUUUAACAAAAAAGGAUAAGUAACACUGAAGGCAUGACAGAGAUUGUAGCACGGAGUAAAAGAAGACAUGAUAUAGAUAAAAUUACAUGUAAAGACCCACCCCGCAUGCUUAACCCAUGCCAACAUAUGUACACUCAUCACCUUCCACAUACGUCGUCCCCACAUGUGAAAUCAAGUAACAAAUAGACCAAUCAAGUCCUAUUUUUCUCUUCUGCAGUCAAAUUAACAAACAAUCACGGCCUUGACUUUCGAACAAUCCUCCAGCCCAACAGAAUCUAGUCAAUUAUUAAUCAAACAAUCGAAAUUAAGCUUUAAAAACUACCCGCAAAUGAAAAACGGUUUAAUUUUGAUAAUCUUUUGAAAAAGUCAACCCCAAGCUUGCUUGGUCGAAAUCCGAGAUUCCGAUCAAAUCUCAAUUACUCAUUCACCCCCGAGCCCGGUUAUGUGAUUUAUUUUGAAGUCCGACCUCUUUAAGGCGUAAAUUUUAGUUUUAUAAAAUUCCUAAAUUCUACCCAAAACCCUUAAUUUCUACAUUGGAAUUCAUAAAUUUGAUGUUAGAAAUUCAUGAAAAGUAAUUGAAAUUUAUUGUAAACUAGUUAAAGUUAAUUACCAAUGAAUUUGGGAAGAAAAUCCUCUUCAAAAAUUUCCUCUAGAGUGGUUAAGGUUAAAAAUGGUUAAAAAUGAGCCAAGUCCUGACUUUCCCAUCUUUUACCAGGGCAGGUAUCGCAAUUGCAAUGCGAACUAUUGACCACUGGAUCAGUGUCUGAGCCUCAGAAGUAUAGCAAAUGCGAAAAAGCCUUCGCAUUUGCGAAGGUCCAUCCCUCCGCAAAUGCAAACUAAGCUUCGCUUCUAUGAAGCUGCCCCCAAGCUCUCAGAGUCCCAAAUGCGAGACUCUUGCCGCAAUUACAAUUUCCCUCACCUUCUCAAAUGCGGCUCCUUAUUUGCAAAUGAGAAAUUACCCAAUCCCAGGCCACUUUGCAAAUGUGAUCCAUUGAUCUUAAAAGCGUUGCCCGCAAAUGCGGGAUCUGCAGGCUACACUAGUAACAGUCUUGCACCAACAAUUGCAAUUUCAACCAAAACUCGUCCGAAACUCAGCCGAACCACCCGAGUUCAAAACCAAAUAUGCAUAUAAGUGUAAUAACAUUAUAAAAACUCACUCUCUAACUAAAAUUACCAAAAUAACAUCAAAUAACAAGAAUCGAUCAUCAAAACUCAAGGAUUUCAACUUAAAACUCAAUUAUCACAAUCUUUCACAUAAUGUGCUGAAACACGCUUAGGUCACCUGGGGCCCCAAUAAAACAUGCAUACAAAUCUAAAAACAUCAUACGAACCUAAAGGAUUUGCCAUAAUACCAUUUCAAGGUCGUCUACCACAAAUGUUGACCGUAGUAACUCUAGCCUCAUUUUAAGCAAAACAAAAAUCUUUAAAAUUUUACGUAAAAAGUUUUUGAAAAGCGACAAGGACCAUGUAUGAAAAUCUAGAAUCAUCAAAAAAAGCUAGGAGAUGUCUAAGAACUCAGAAAUUAAGGCUAGUACUCAAAAUGACCUAUCGGAUCGUAACAGUGACCCAAGCGCAUUUUGGCGCAUUUUGUAAAAGACUGUGAAGAAUGAGUUUAAACUUAGAUAAUUUUCGAGUUUUGAUGAUCAAUUCAUGAUUUUUGAUGUUAUCUUGAUGAUUUGAGGUAUCGAGCGAGUUUGAAUGAUGUUAUUAAACUUAUAUAUAUAAGCCCUGGUGGCUCUAGUGAGUUUUUGGACCAUUUUUUGCCUUGUAGAGUUGCUAGUUUUUCUAUUGGUGCAUCAGUGCUUCGCGAAGCCACUACCGCGAUCACAAUAGGGAAACAUGGGGCUGGGGCUAGUUAUUCUACGCGAACGCAAGGGUAGGCUCGUGAAUACGAAAUCUUUGAGGGUCUGACCUUAACAAACGCGGCAAACCCUACGCAAACUCGUAGGUUUGGGAUGGCUGGGAAAGGCAUGAGGGGUUUCAUGAACACGAUGAGGAAACCUACUGAAAGUUGGCUGGGAAAUGCCUUCAUGAACACGAUGAGGAUCUCGCGAACACGAAGGCCGACAGGCCAUGUGCUCCGCGAUCGCGAAGAGUACCUGACACCCAAUUAAAUAAAAGAUGAAAAAUGGGAUUUCAUUAUCUUUCACCAUUUUUGAAAACCAGAGCUCGGCCUAGAGAUAUUUUCACUCCAAAUUCAUUGGUUAGUGCUUUUCAACUAGUUUUGAUGUAUUUCCAUAAUUGCCCAUUGAUUUUUAUCCUUAAUUUUAGUAGUUUCAAAGUAGAAAUUAGGAGUUAUAGGUAGAAAUUAGAAAAUUAGAAAAAUUGAGAUUCAUACCUGAAAUUGAGGUUGGAUUUCAAAAUAAAUCACAUACCCAGGUUCGGGGGUGAAUGGGUAAUCAGAUGUGAUGACCCAAAAGGUCAUCACUUGUGUUGCAAUGAAAUUCUACAUUCUGAGGCCUUAAAAACCUCCCUUAGCACCACCUUGAUUUGCAUGCACAGUCCGGGCGUGUAGCUGGAAAGCUUAAAUGUGAAAAUCUAUGAAAAAUGAUUAGUUUUGACUGUAAAAUGAAUAAUUCGACUUCAGUCAACUUUUUGGGUAAACGGACCCGGACCCAUGAUUUGACGGUCCUGAAAGGUCCGUAGGAAAAUAUGGGACUUGGGCAUAUGCCCGGAAUCGGAUUCCGAGGUCCCAAGCCCGAGAAAUGAAUUUUUAAAGAAAUUUUUUUUCUGAAAUUGUUUAAAGAAAUUUGAAAUGAAAUUUGCUUAGAACAUGAUGGUAUCGGGCCCGUAUUUUUGUUCCCGUGCCCGAUACAAGUCUUUUAUAUGAUUUAAGACGUUUUUGUGGAUUUUGGUGAAAAACGGAUGUCAUUUGAAGUGAUUCGGACUUAAAUUGCAAAAUUGAUGUUUAAAGAAGUUUUAAGAAAUUUUUUUUGAUCUCGAGGUUUAAUUUGAUGUUCAUGAUUUUAUUUUGGUGAUUUGAUUACACGAAUAAGUCUGUAGGAUGUUUUUGAGGUUUUGUGUGCACUUGGUUUGGAGUUCCGAGGGCUCGGUUGAGUUUCGGGUAGGUUUCGGGAUGUUUUAAGCUAAAAACCAUAAUUGGAGGCCUCUGAACCCGCCAGUGCGGUCCGCGGUCGGGCUUGUGCGGUGCGCGGUGUAGGGCUGUGCGGCUGCAGUCGACUUUGUGCGGUCUGCACAGGGGUAUUGUUGUGCGGCCGCAGUGGACUUUAUGUGGUCCACACAGGGCACUGGACUGCAAUAUCCUCAGGAAGGGUUGUGCGGUCCGCACAGGAUAUUUGAGAGGGGUAUAAAUAGAUGGGAUUUCCAGUUAUUUUCAUUUUUCAAAACCCCAUAAACAUAAGAAGCGAUUUUUCAAACAACCUUUCUUAUCCAAAUCAAUUGUAAGUCGUUUUUAACUAGUUUUCUUCAAUCAUUAACACCUUUUAACAUGAUUUCAACUUCAAACCAAUGAUUAUCAUGGAGGAAAUUGGGUGUUUUGGGUAGAACCUAGGUUUUUCAAAAAUUGGGAAUUUGGACCUCGAUUUGAGGUUCGAUUUCAAAACAAUUUACAUAUUUGAGCUCGUGGGGGAAUGAGUAACCGGGUUUUGGUUCGAACCUCGGGUUUUGACCACGUGGGCCCGGGGGCGAUUUUGACUUUUUGGGUAAAACUUUGGAAAACUUAUUUUCAUGCAUUCAAAUUGAUUCAUCUAGCAUUUAUUGAUGUAAUUAAUUAACUUGUGGCUAUAUACGAGCGAAUUGGUGGAGGAAGAAAGGGGUAAAGCUAUAAUCGAAACUUGAGUUGUGUUCGAGGCAUCGAGGUAAGUGUUUGGUCUAACCUUAGCUUGAGGUAUUAGGAGUUGUGUCUUAUUUGCUACAUGUUAAUUGUGGAGUACGACGCAUAGGCAUGGUGACGAGUAUCUAUACGUUGGUGUCAAGCAUGCUCGUGAGUCUUGUAUUAUAAUUGUUAUGACUCCGUUGUGGUUUAUUGCGCUUCAUAUGUUGUUAUCACCAUUGUUCCCUUGCCGGGAUGUUUGUUUGAUAUAAAUGAUCCCUUGCCGGGAUGUUUCUUUCGAUAGUAUUGUUCCCUUGCCGGGAUGUUGUUGAAAUAUCAUUUUUCCCUUGUCGGGAAGUUGUUAUAGUACUCUUGUUCCCUUGCCGGGAUUCCUUGUGAUUAUUGUUGGCUUGUAACUGGGAGUGGGUGGUACGUCUACCACAAGAUAUAAUGAAAUGGGAGCGGGUGGUUUGCCUACCACAAGAUAUAAUGAAAUGGAGUGGGUGGUACGCCUACCACAAGAUAUAAAUUAAUGGGAGCGGGUGGUAUGCCUACCAUGAGAUAAAUGAAAUGGGAACGGGUGGCACGCCUUCCACGAGAAAAUGAAAUGGGAGCGGGUGGCACAUCUACCAAGAGAUACAUGAAACGGGAUCGGGUUGCACGCCUGCAACAAGAUGUGAAAAAAAAAGUGAAAUCUGCCUUUGUUUUCCUUAUUCUUGUUAGUGGUUGGAUUUUGAUUCCCUUGUAAUUCUCUUGAUAUUCUGUUUUUACUUGUUAUUCUCCCGAAGCAUGUUUUCUCCCCUCCCAUCUUUACUUGUUUAUUCAUGUUUUACUUUCCGUUGUAUAUUAUAUAACUCAACAGGUUUACUUGGUAGUCUGGUCCUAGACUCAUCACUACUUCGCCGAGGUUAGGCUAGGCACUUACCAGCAUAUGGGGUCGGUUGUGCUGAUGCUACACUCUGCACUCUGUGCAGAUAUCGGAGCAACAUUGGAUCAGUAGCUUGGGAGCCAGCCUUCAGUCCACAGAGAUUCCGAGGUAGUCCUGCAGGCGUCCGUAGGCCCGGCGUCUCUUCUAUCUAUUAUCAUGUUCUGUUAUCACUUGUAUCCGAGACAAACUGUGUUUCUUUCCUUCAGACAAUUGUAUGUUGUCACACCUCCUUUUUGCACACCCCUCAAGGGGUAUAAGGGAGUUUUUCCAAUUUAAGUGACAAUCGAAACGGGAUUAUUUAUAAAAAUCAGAGUCGCCACUUGGAAUAAUUUAUGGUGUUCCAAGUCACCGAUUAAAAUCCUGAAUCGAGGAAAUUGACUCUAAUUACGGUCUACGAACACAGAAAUUCGAGUAAGGAAUUCUAUUAACACAGGAGAAGGUGUUAGGCACUCUCGAGUUCCGUGGUUUUAGCACGGUCGCUUUGAUCAUACAUGGCUUAAUCAGAUUGUUUAAUUACUCAUUUUAGAACCUAUGUGUAUUAGCCGCUUCUAAUUAGGAAAUUAUCUUGAAACGGGUCACGCGUACGUGUACCCAUUUGUUUGGCACGUCAAAAAUCAUGUCAUGCGAACGUGUCCACAAUUAAUAACACUUUAUUAUUGUUAAGAAAGUUUGGCCGAAAUUGCGCGAACGCAUACUCCGAUUUUGUUUUUAGAAUCGUAAUUAUGUCAUGCGAACGUGCACACUAUCACAAUAAUUUGAUUAACUAAGAGUAUGCCAAAAUUUUCAUAGCAAGAUAUUUGAUAAUCACGAUAUUUUGCUAAUUAUUACAUCAGCCAAAUAAAGAAAGCAUUUCACACAUGAAAAUCGGACACUAUUCUGUCUCAGCUAACAUACAUAUACUCUGCAUCUAUUAUUUAUUUCCUUUAGACAAAUUCAUUGUACAAUUUGAUUCAUCCUAAGUUUUCCUCCAAUUUUGAGACUCUCCGCUAGUCAUGUAAGCAGAACUGGUAACGACCCAAAAGAGCACAAAAUAUUGAUCCGCAUAUCACAAUCAAACUGCAGAAUGACCACCAAAAUUAAUUACCCAGCGGUAUCCGUGAAAGCUCACUAUAAAAUAUCAAGAAUGAAACAGUGUGCAUCACUUGGCAUUUUUGCGGACAAACACCAAAAAUCGGUUAUAUUAGGUUGAAGGAACUAAAGGUUUAAAGCAACAAAUCAAAUACUCAUGUUCAACAGAGAGUGACAAACUCAUAACAUUUAACAAAACCAUGCGUUUAAGUGCGGAAUGAAACUGAAAAUAUUGAGAUAAGAUAAAAUGAACGUUUGCAAUUACUUGACUGCUUCUUUCAAAAUUCAAACAAGGAUGAACCUCUGACCGGAGCCGGGACUGUUAAACGGAAAAUCAUCGACAACAACGACAAUACCUCGACUUGCAGCUGAACGGAGACUCGGACAGCAACUUCCGACGACUCGAAGCUCACCGGAAAAACUUGAACCAAAUAAAAACGACGAAGAUGAACUCCAACUGAUUUUGAAUUUAUUUUUAGCUAUUUUUGAGUUGGAUUUUGGACUGAAACUGUAGUAUUUUGAAGGUGGUUUGGCUGGGUAUGCGUCAAUGGAGCAGAGAUGGCAGGUUCGCCGAUGGGGGAAGGUCUUUAGUUCUCUGCCGCUACUUUUGUAUUGAAGAGAGGGUCUGUUUUUAUGUGGAGAUGGGAUCGUUUAUUGUAAGGGAAACGGGUGGAGAAGAAGGUGAAGAAGAGGGGUUUUCGAUGGGUGUUCAGCGGCUGAAGAAGAUGACUAACGGGGGGGUGGGGUUUUCCUUUAAAAGCUGCGCCCCAAAUUUCUUCUCCCCCUUUUAGAUUUUUUAAGCAUUAAUUUAUAGGUAGAGUCUAGGUUUAGGUGUAUCUUUGUGUAUUUUGCCCAUUAGUCCCUAGAUCUUUUGUGUUA
rnacentral:lncRNA from 1 species